UACGGGGGGUGCAAGCGUUGUCCGGAAUCAUUGGGCGUAAAGCGUUCGUAGGCGGCAAGGUAAGUCUGAUGUUAAAGCCCGGGGCUCAACUCCGGGACUGCUUUUGAAACUGUGUGACUGGAGUGCAGGAGAGGUAAGCGGAAUUCCUGGUGUAGCGGUGAAAUGCGUAGAUAUCGCGCAGAACCCCGAUUGCGAAGGCAGCGUGCCGUGCCGCCACUGACGCUGAGGCACGAAAGCGCGGGGAGCGAACAGG
rnacentral:rRNA from 1 species